AGCUUCAUCACUCUUGAAGAUAACCCCUCUAUGACUCUGCUUUGCCAUUUAAAUUUUUUUCUCAUCUCAUACCAGUCAUCUUCUCUAGGUUCUUCAGUCUGAGCUAACCAUGCUGUUGCUCUCUUCUAGUGGUCAAAAGUUCUCUUCAGCUUGCUGAGUUGAGAAGUAUAGUUAAAUCUUGGUGGGUUUUCAGCUUCUGUUUCUACAUCAACAUCCAUGUCCUGAAUCCCGAAAUUUUGACCUUCUAAUGUUGAUUUCCUUGAAGCUUUGCUCAUGUCAAAUUUCAUC
rnacentral:sRNA from 1 species